UUGUAAGUCAGACGUGAAAGCCUUCUGUUCAACGGAAGAAUUGCAUCUGAAACUACAAACCUUGAGUGUAGGAGGGGAGAAUGGAACUUCUGGUGGAGCGGUGAAAUGCGUAGAUAUCAGAAGGAACGCCGGCGGCGAAAGCGAUUCUCUGGCCUAUUACUGACACUCAGUGUGCGAAAGCUAGGGGAGCAAACGGGAUUAGAUACCCCGGUAGUCCUAGCCGUAAACGAUGGGCACUAAGUAAAGGGGUU
rnacentral:rRNA from 1 species